GGCGGACGGGUGAGUAACGCGUAGGAAUCUGCCUCAUAGUGGGGGACAACGUGGGGAAACUCACGCUAAUACCGCAUACGCCCUACGGGGGAAAGCGGGGGAUCUUCGGACCUCGCGCUAUGAGAUGAGCCUGCGUUAGAUUAGCUAGUUGGUGGGGUAAAGGCCUACCAAGGCGACGAUCUAUAGCUGGUCUGAGAGGACGAUCAGCCACACUGGGACUGAGACACGGCCCAGACUCCUACGGGAGGCAGCAGUGGGGAAUAUUGGACAAUGGGCGAAAGCCUGAUCCAGCAAUACCGCGUGUGUGAAGAAGGCCUUAGGGUUGUAAAGCACUUUCAAUUGGGAGGAAAACCUACCGGUCAAUACCCGGUAGCUUGACAUUACCUUUAGAAGAAGCACCGGCUAACUCCGUGCCAGCAGCCGCGGUAAUACGGAGGGUGCGAGCGUUAAUCGGAAUUACUGGGCGUAAAGCGUGCGUAGGCGGUUCGUUAAGUCAGAUGUGAAAGCCCUGGGCUCAACCUGGGAACGGCAUUUGAAACUGGCGGACUAGAGUUUAGUAGAGGGGAGUGGAAUUUCAGGUGUAGCGGUGAAAUGCGUAGAUAUCUGAAGGAACACCAGUGGCGAAGGCGACUCCCUGGACUAGAACUGACGCUGAGGUACGAAAGCGUGGGUAGCAAACAGGAUUAGAUACCCUGGUAGUCCACGCUGUAAACGAUGUCGACUAGCCGUUGGUCCUAUUUACAGGAUUAGUGGCGCAGCUAACGUAUUAAGUCGACCGCCUGGGGAGUACGGCCGCAAGGUUAAAACUCAAAUGAAUUGACGGGGGCCCGCACAAGCGGUGGAGCAUGUGGUUUAAUUCGAUGCAACGCGAAGAACCUUACCUAC
rnacentral:rRNA from 1 species